rnacentral:rRNA from 1 species
CCUGACUGCUAUCGGAUUGAUACUAAGCCAUGCGAGUCAUUGUAGUAAUACAAGGCAGACGGCUCAGUAACGCGUAGUCAACCUAACCUAUGGACGGGAAUAACCUCGGGAAACUGAGUAUAAUGCCCGAUAGAACAUUAUGCCUGGAAUGGUUUAUGUUCCAAAUGAUUUAUCGCCGUAGGAUGGGACUGCGGCCUAUCAGUUUGUUGGUGAGGUAAUGGCCCACCAAGACUAUUACAGGUACGGGCUCUGAGAGGAGUGGCCCGGAGAUGGGUACUGAGACACGGACCCAGGCCCUAUGGGGCGCAGCAGGCGAGAAAACUUUGCAAUGUGCGAAAGCACGACAAGGUUAAUCCGAGUGGUUUCUGCUAAAGGAACCUUUUGUCGGUCCUAGAAACACCGAUGAAUAAGGGGUGGGCAAGUUCUGGUGUCAGCCGCCGCGGUAAAACCAGCACCUCAAGUGGUCAGGAUGAUUAUUGGGCCUAAAGCAUCCGUAGCCGGCUUUGUUAGUUUUCGGUUAAAUCUGUACGCUUAACGUACAGGCUGCCGGGAAUACUGCAGAACUAGGGAGUGGGAGAGGUAGACGGUACUCGGUAGGAAGGGGUAAAAUCCUUUGAUCUAUUGAUGACCACCUGUGGCGAAGGCGGUCUACCAGAACACGUCCGACGGUGAGGGAUGAAAGCUGGGGGAGCAAACCGGAUUAGAUACCCGGGUAGUCCCAGCUGUAAACUAUGCAAACUCAGUGAUGCAUUGGCUUGUGGCCAAUGCAGUGCUGCAGGGAAGCCGUUAAGUUUGCCGCCUGGGAAGUACGUACGCAAGUAUGAAACUUAAAGGAAUUGGCGGGGGAGCACCACAAGGGGUGAAGCCUGCGGUUC